UCCGGGUUGGUCCCGGCGGUCCGGCCAGACUAAGUAACUGGCCGCGGGGGUUGCGCUCGUUGCGGGACUUAACCCAACACCUCACGGCACGAGCUGACGACAGCCGUGCAGCACCUGUGCGCGCUCCCUCGCGGGUCCCUCGGGUUUCCCCUCGGUACCACGUGCAUGUCAAGCCCGGGUAAGGUUCUUCGCGUUGCAUCGAAUUAAACCACACGCUCCGCUGCUUGUGCGGGCCCCCGUCAAUUCCUUUGAGUUUUAGCCUUGCGGCCGUACUCCCCAGGCGGGGUGCUUAUCGCGUUGGCUGCGGCACCGCGGGGGUCGAUACCCGCGACACCUAGCACCCAUCGUUUACGGCGUGGACUAC
rnacentral:misc_RNA from 1 species